GAUGAAGAACGCAGUGAAAUGCGAUACGUAAUGUGAAUUGCAGAAUUCAGUGAAUCAUCGAGUCUUUGAACGCACAUUGCGCCCCCUGGUAUUCCGGGGGGCAUGCCUGUCCGAGCGUCAUUGCUGCCCUCAAGCACGGCUUGUGUGUUGGGCCUCCGUCCUCCUCCCGGGGGACGGGCCCGAAAGGCAGCGGCGGCACCGCGUCCGGUCCUUGAGCGUAUGGGGCUUCGUCACCCGCUCUUGUAGGCCCGGCCGGCGCUUGCCGACACAUCAAUCUUUUUUCCAGGUUGACCUCGGAUCAGGUAGGGAUACCCGCUGAACUUAAGCAUAUCAAUAAGCGGAGGA
rnacentral:misc_RNA from 1 species